CAGUUUGACCAGUGUGGCGCUGUAGCGCAAGAUUGUAAUACACUCUCCUGAUUCAAUUCAAAAGAAGAAGAUAGCACUUCAGUUUGAGCAAACCGAGCCGAUCCGAACCUUGGAUGAAUAUAUUUGUGCAGAAUUUGAGACAUACAGAAUUACCAUAGGCCCAUUAGAAUCAACAGUCUUUGCCAAACUGGAUCCGCACUACAAAACUUAUGAAGAUGUUUGCAUACUGAAGAAGAGUGCUUGGACAAAUACUGAAACCCUCUUGGUGCCCACUACACAGGGGUGUCCAGACCUGCUCUAGGAAAGCCAGUGUUCUCUGGAGUUUAGCUCUAACACACCUGCCUGGAACUUCUAACUAAUGAAUUUGAAGUAUCCAAAUGAAGACCCUAGCAGUAUGGAGUACAUGGAUACAGACGUUGGCAGCAAUCAGGAGGUGAUCAAGAAGACUCGUGGGAAUCUAUUUGAAGCUGCAUCAUUGAAGACAGUUCAGCAGAAGUUGGAGUU